rnacentral:snoRNA from 1 species
UUUACUGAGGAAGUAUAUGCAGGACAUAUUGUUAUUUAGGAAUUCUUCGUUUAUGAUCU